GACGAACGCUGGCGGCGUGCUUAACACAUGCAAGUCGAACGGUGAAGCGCCUUCCUUUUUGGUGGGUGUGGAUGAGUGGCGAACGGGUGAGUAACACGUGAGUAACCUGCCCCCUUCUUCUGGAUAACCGCAUGAAAGUGUGGCUAAUACGGGAUAUUCUGGGUCUGUCGCAUGAUGGGUCUGGGAAAGAUAUUGUUUCGGUGGGGGAUGGGCUCGCGGACUAUCAGCUUGUUGGUGGGGUGAUGGCCUACCAAGGCGGUGACGGGUAGCCGGCCUGAGAGGGUGGACGGUCACACUGGGACUGAGACACGGACCAGACUCCUACGGGAGGCAGCAGUGGGGAAUAUUGCACAGUGGGCGCAAGCCUGAUGCAGCGACGCCGCGGGAGGGAUGGAGGCCUUCGGGUUGUGAACCUCUUUCGCCAGUGAAGCAGGCCUGCCUCGUUUGUGGGUGGGUUGACGGUAGCUGGAUAAGAAGCGCCGGCUAACUACGUG
rnacentral:rRNA from 1 species